CGGCGGACGGGUGAGUAACGCGUGGGUAACCUGCCUUACGACAGGGGGAUAACAGUUAGAAAUGACUGCUAAUACCGCAUAAGACCCCGGUACCGCAUGGUACAGAGGUAAAAACUGAGGUGGUGUAAGAUGGACCCGCGUCUGAUUAGGUAGUUGGUGAGGUAACGGCUCACCAAGCCGACGAUCAGUAGCCGGCCUGAGAGGGUGGACGGCCACAUUGGGACUGAGACACGGCCCAGACUCCUACGGAAGGCAGCAG
rnacentral:rRNA from 1 species